CAGGUUCCGGUUCACGUCCUUCGAUGACCAGCACAUUGGGCGACCCGGCGACC
rnacentral:ncRNA from 1 species